rnacentral:rRNA from 1 species
CUGGCGGCGUGCCUAAUACAUGCAAGUCGAACGGUCUUUCUAUGGAAGCUUGCUUCCACUGAGAAGAUAGUGGCGAACGGGUGAGUAACACGUGGGUAACCUGCCCAUAAGAGGGGGAUAACAUCCGGAAACGGGUGCUAAUACCGCAUAGUUUUCUUGAUCGCAUGAUCGGGAAAGGAAAGACGGCCUUUGUGCUGUCGCUUAUGGAUGGACCCGCGGCGUAUUAGUUAGUUGGUGAGGUAACGGCUCACCAAGACGAUGAUACGUAGCCGACCUGAGAGGGUGAUCGGCCACAUUGGGACUGAGACACGGCCCAAACUCCUACGGGAGGCAGCAGUAGGGAAUCUUCCGCAAUGGACGAAAGUCUGACGGAGCAACGCCGCGUGAGUGAAGAAAGGUUUUCGGAUCGUAAAACUCUGUUGUCAGAGAAGAACAAGUUGGAGAGUAACUGCUCUAGCCUUGACGGUAUCUGACCAGAAAGCCACGGCUAACUACGUGCCAGCCGCUGC